rnacentral:siRNA from 1 species
CAUCUUCCACCAUCACAACCACCU